rnacentral:rRNA from 1 species
UGAGGAAUAUUGCACAAUGGGCGAAAGCCUGAUGCAGCAACGCCGCGUGCGGGAGGAAGGCCUUCGGGUCGUAAACCGCUUUUCGGGGGGACGAGUGAGGACGGUACCCCCGGAAUAAGUCUCGGCUAACUACGUGCCAGCAGCCGCGGUAAAACGUAGGAGGCGAGCGUUAUCCGGAUUCACUGGGCGUAAAGCGCGUGUAGGUGGUUCGCUAAGUCGAAUGUGAAAGCCCCCGGCUUAACUGGGGGAGGUCAAUCGAUACUGGUGGACUUGAGGGUAGGAGAGGAAGGUGGAAUUCCCGGUGUAGCGGUGGAAUGCGUAGAGAUCGGGAGGAACACCUGUGGCGAAAGCGACCUUCUGGCCUGCUCCUGACACUGAGACGCGAAAGCGUGGGUAGCAAACGG